AGAGCGACCACGGCGGAAAUCGUCGUUCCGGCUUCCGGAAGGAGGGGCGGGAGUCGGGGCUAUUUGCGGAGUGAGGCCACUGGCCGCCGUGGUGUGUUCUUUAGUUUGGACUGACUCAGGAUAGUUCUCAGUUCAGAGUGUAGACCCUGUGUGAAGGUGAUGCUACACAACAGGAAGAGGACCAAUCAUUUUGUUACACUCAAAAAAAUUAUGGGAUUUAUUCUCCUACAAAAAAAGUGAAACAACAUUGGAUCAAAGAGGAAAACAAUAGAAAGUAGUCAGCAAGACUAUUUUUAAACUGUUCAGAAUGCAGUUAAGAAGAGAAAAAGGAAGUAUUUCCCGAAGCACAAAUCAAGGAAAAACCAAUGAGAAUCUGUGUAAGACAGCACAGCAGUGGAAGAGAUGGGGAAUGACUUCCCGAUAUGACGCAGGUUUUAGUAGAUUUAGAAACAGCCUAGACGAGAAGCCCUAUAAAUGUACUCUGUGUGAUAAAGGUUUCAGUCAGAGUUCAACUCUUUUCCAGCACGCAAAAAUCCACACUGGAGAGAAAUCCCAUAUCUGUGCUGAUUGUGGGAAAAGCUUCUUUCAGAGCUCAAACCUCAUUCAGCACCGACGAGUCCAUACUGGAGAAAAGCCCUAUAAAUGUACUGAGUGUGGGGAAAGAUUUAAACAGAGCUCAAAUCUCAUUCAACACCAGAGAAUUCACACUGGAGAGAAGCCCUAUCAGUGUGAUGAAUGUGGCCGGUGUUUCAGUCAGAGUUCCCAUCUCAUCCAACAUCAGAGAACCCACACAGGAGAGAAGCCCUAUCAGUGUAUUGAAUGUGGCAGGUGCUUUAGCCAGAGUUCUCACCUUAGUCAACAUAUGAAACGGCACAGAGAAGAGAAACCUCAUAAAAGCCGCGGCAAAUAUACCAGGAAAACUCGUUUGGUAUUGUGUUAAAAUUAAUGGUUUGGCUAAAUAUAUGAAAAUUAUAAAUCUUUUAUUUACAAAAGAGGUGGAGUGAACGUAGAGAAAAACAAAAGGGUAGAGAAGACAUUAACCUAUCUAACUAAAUAUUGUUCUAGUGUUUGGCUCAGCCAGGACUUGUUAACCUUCAACUAGAAUUAAAAUAUCUCCAGAAGACAGGGAGGGAAAACCAGCUAUCCACUUACUCAAGUUCCUUUUAAGAGGCAGGUCAAGACAAUGACUUGAGCUGAAGAUGACUCCUGAGGCCAACUUUCUUCUUGAAGUGACUCUCUUCUUGGAGUCCACUCUCCUUAACCUCAGAAAUUCAGGGCCUUUUAUAGUGGCUUCUUGUCUCCUCUCUUCACAGGGGCCAAUCACAGCUUCCAAAUUGUUUAGCACUUCCCAGGGGGUUCACAGUUUCUGAGGGUGUGAACUCUUACAAAAAAGUUAAGUUUCUGAGGGUGUGAACUCUUGUGGAUUCUUAAAAGGAAGUUUCUGACUUUGAGUUAGAAAAAAGGAUGGAGCUCUCUAAGUAGCUUGCUGGCUUCUCACCUAGCACUAGGUAGGUGUGAAUUCACUAAGUGGUUUGUAAGCUCUCCCACCUAGUUCAAGCUUGUGUUGAUUCAAAGUUAUUGUUAACUAAAGUGCUAACUACAACUAGGCAAAGAGAAUAACGGAUUCCCUUUUCACAAGUGUACUCAAAGAGAACAAAUAAUUCCCUUUUAUAGUAUCAAGUUGGAGAAUCCAUGCAGGAAGGAAGUCGAUGCCUUUACUAUGUUAAACCAGCUUUAAUAAAAAUGAGAAAAAAACAAAACAAAACAACAUAACUUUGUCUCCACUACCACCCUCCUUUCCUGGAUCACUCUUCCUUUAACUUUUACCCCUCCCAACAGAAAAUGAUGUAAACUUGCAUUGGGAUUUAUUGUGAGUUUGUUGAUCUUUUAGAGUGAAAGACUGAUUCCUACUAUCCUUAAGUUUGGUGGUUUUUCACUUGCAGAUUUCCAUGUGGUGCUUUUAAGGUUUGUUACAGUCAGAUGGUACAAGAACAUGCUAAUGGUCGUUCAGUUUUUGUACUGAUCAGGCUUUAUGUAAAUUAUAAGGGAAAGGAAGUUUUAAUUUCAUGCAAAGAAGUGAUGGAUUAAUUUUUGGAUUUUAGAAUGGAAGGCUUUUGUCCUUGUGGUGUUUGACACAUUUUAAAAUGUUUUAAAAGAGAAGGAAGAUUUAUUGGUACAAAGAUUCAAGCUCAUGUUUUUAAUCAGUGGAGAAUAAUUUUCUCCAUGUCAAUUUAAAGGUUUUCUCUCUUAUCAUUAUUCUACUUUUAUAAUUUGUUAAUGUAGAUUCUCUAAUGUGUUUUCUAAUUUUCAUUAGCUCCCUGAACUCUCCUAUUCUCAGCAAAAGAUAUAAUAGCUGAAAUGAGAUCUAUUAUUCUUGGGAUUUGAGAGCUUAAAUCACUAUAGUAACAGUAAUAAUAUUUUCCUUUUUAUUCAGAGAUAAUGCUGUUAAUCUACAAAUUAGUAAGUCACUUGAGUUUUUCGGAAUGGUGAUGUGUUUUUCCUGUUCAUCUGCACUUAGUUCCCUGGAUUCCCUCCUCUGUGACCAUUAACAUGAAUUUUCAAGUUCAGGUUAUAAGUGUUGUCUGUAUGUAUUGCAAGAGAAUAGAAAUAAAUUGGCACAGAUGGCUUUGGCAAUAAUAGUGUUGUGCUUCAAACUAAUCCUUUGGACUCAUAAGCUUUUAUAGUAAGAAGAAAAAAAUUUAGAGCAUUUCGGAAUAUCUGAUGCUGUUACAUGAUCUAUUAAGUAUUUGCUUGUGUGCUUGAUUAAAAACAAGUGAUUUUGUAACAAGUCUCUCUGACCUCAACUUUGAAAACUUUAGAACCUUGGUCUUUUAAAAGCAAGUUUUCUCAACAAUUGUAAAGGCCAUUAACUUAGUUUGGGUGCAAUUUAGCUCCUCUGAAAUAAUUUUCCCUCCAACUUCACCCCCAUCACCUUCUAGUUUACAGCUAAUGCUUUACAAGUCCAGGAAAACCUGUUUCUUAACUUUUGAGGGAACAGUGUCAUGUUUCAGAUAUCCUGGCCAAACUUAAGCUCAGGGUUUUGGUUCCUAUAGGAUGCCGGGAUUCUCGUUAUUUUCUCUAUCUUUUGUAAUCAUUUCAAAUCCUAUUGUACUAAUAAUGACAGUUCUCCAUAUGAAAUAAAAUGCUAUUUUGUACAAUGCCAA